ensembl:lncRNA
GCUAAAUUCAACAUGUGAUAUAUUUAAGUAGUUAGUGAAAUGUUUUAAGCAAAAAAAGUUAGAUUUUGCAGUCAUUCCCAACACUGCCAGUAUUUCAUAUUGUCUAUUUGAAAGUAAUGCCUAAAUUCCUUCAUGCAUACAAGUCUCCAAAUGUUGUGCUUACUGGACAUGUUCAAAUUUGACCUCCAUUAUAGCCAAUAGAAAAAAGGCUGAGGGCUGUAGAGAAAUGCUAUUUCUUAUGCAGGUGACCAACCUAUUACUAAUACAGGGAUACAACUUAAAGUAAAGCCUGUGGGGUCCCCUACAGGAUAGCUCCCGCAUUACACUAAUUGCCAAAACCAGCGCACACACACAUAAUCUCCUUUGUAGCUGAACAUUGUGUGCCCGAAGAGGAUUCUACGAUGACGGACAGACAACUGAGCCAAUGGCGGAAGACUACAGACUACACCCCAGCUGAACCAAUCCAAAGAUCCGAUCUUCCAGAAUCAACCUACUUUCUGUUCUAUAUAUAAGUGGUGUACUGAUUGUAACGGUCUCUUUGCCUGCAGUUCCGUACGAACCAGCGGAGAAGCCGUAAUUACGCUGUUCUAGAUAUCUUCACUGAAUAAACUGUCGCUUGUCAUACAAUUUACCACCUUGUCUGAAUCGAUCCUUGACCGACUCGCCCGUCUACAUAUCUAAUUUCUAACAGAACUGAAGAAAAGGUGGGGGUCCACCACCACUCCGGAGGCUAAAGGGAUGGCACUCAGUCAAAACAGUGGGAGACCUAUUGCUAAAGGCAUCUCUGGAGGAACCUCAUCUGACCCAACCACCCCAAGGGUGGGCCUACAUAAGAGCUACUGAUGGUGUAAUCUGUCUGGUGGGGCCUUCUGCCAUAACAGACCUCCAUGCAGUUGAGAAUGAUGAAGACACCUUGUUAGCUGCCACAGAGAGGGAAGCUACAGAGAGGCCUAUUGAGCAAUGCUGGAAAAUACAAUGAGGAAGAGGGUCCAUCCACCUCCACAACUCCUCCUCAACUUACCUCAGUAAGAUGUUAUUCAGCAUUGGCCCAUGAUUUACAAUGAAACUAAGUAGACCUGGCACUGUGAAAUUCAAUCUAAUUUUUUUGUGUUCCUAUAGUUCCCUGUGAAACAGCUAUACUUAGAGAAACACAUUUAAAAAUGUAAUUUAGAAAUUGACCACAAGGCUGCAGAUGCAAGAACAUAGAAAUGCAACAGCUGGAACAUCAGUUAAAGGUGGGUGAGGUGCCCACAGGUGGAUGAUUUUACUUGGUUGAACAACAUAAAUAUUAACUACUGUACUGCAUGUGCACUG